UUCGGGACGAUAACACGAAUAUGACUCACAAUGAGCGGCAAUCACACAGACGCGACAGUAAACACAUCGGAUUGUCGUCGCGCGUUACUUCCGAUUCUCCCAAGCUGGUGAAGACGGAAUUAUGAGUCUCGUUACAUUAUUACGCGUGCUAUUACGUUGUAUUACGCACGAUCAUCUCGAGCGAUUUUCUUCAGCACUUUAGCAUUUUUUUAAGGAUCUACCAGAGCUUGCAGCCAUACGAUGGGUGCGAUCCUCGAGGGAAUGUAGUUUCGACGGAUGCGGAUGCCGUACCGGAGGUUCCGGUUCGGGCCGAGUCAGAGUCGGUCCGAAGAUCUGCAGCACGGAGCAUGGCGGGCUCUGAGCUUCCGCGUUUCGUGAACGCGAGUGCAGGGGAAAUUAGCGAAGCGAAGUGAGUAAGGAGUGAUCGACGUGAGACAACAACCGAACGUCGAGGGACCUGGACGGAUGCGAUGCAACAAUCAGGAUGGAUUUCAUCGGGACGGACCUGGAAAUUCGUCGCUUGGAUAUCGACGCGAAAUGCUGAGCGUCCAAUUUGAACGCUUAGAUGAAAAGCGUCAUUUUACGUGCAUUGAACAGAAAUCGCAUCGAUUCGCAUCUCGUUUGCAUUUCCGACGAGAAAAAGUUAGGGUAGUUGUGUAUAUUAUAAAUGUAUUUUGCCAUUUGAGAGUGCGAAAGCACAUUAGAGCGAUCUAUACAUAUAAUGUUUGAAUUGCAAUUGCGAUAUAUCAUCGAAAUAUUCUGAAGUUUAAUUAGAAUCUCAGUUAAAACUGAGACAAGUCAGACACGAGGCGAAAGCGAAAGAUAACAAAUAGCUAGACCGUGGAAAUCAAUAUCAGCCGAGUCACGAAAACUCAUCUCGCGUUUAAUCGUUUAGAACAAUUUUUUUCUACACUGAUCGUUCCAAUCGCGCGAAGAAAGAGAAAAAACCGAUCAACGCUCACAACCGACCGUUAAGUCCCACAUUCGGAUUUUGCCUGUUCUAAUCCUGAUUGCCUUUGUUCGUCCGGCAUUAUGAUAAUGCACAUGCGGGAAGCGGCGCCAUUUGUCGCUGUAUGUGCCGUGUCGCGUCGUUGAUUCAGAUCGCAUCGAAAUUGCAUAGAACUGCAAACAAUGGCUGCGCGUGUGUGUGCACAAUCCGCAUACACACCGUGGAAAGUUUCGCACGCGUGUCGCAGAUUGCUCAACCGCAGGAAUUUGAUCAACGCACAGUGCUGACAUUAAUUACGCACAGAUGUUUUAAUUGAUUUUCCUUCGUGUCACGCGUAACGCACGCGGAUUGAUGGCCGCUCUCGAUGAAAUUAACACAUGGCCCGCCAUGUGUGCGAAAGUGCGCGUUCUAAACGCUAAAUUUACGUUGCCCGAGAUCAUUUUGACCGAUGACCGCGCGACCAAAUAUUUCCUUUCUUCAUUUUCACGCCGUCUUAUAAUUUUGAUGACGAACAAUGAAAAUAGACGAAGGUAAAAAUGAAACGCUGCAAGAACGCCGUCCGUUUUCACGUUGGCAAAACUGACGGACUCCUCCUUCAAGAGAGGGUGAAUAUUUUAAAGGAACUUGAAGGACAGUUCUGUGAAUUUUGAUGCAAAAGCUUACGUGGAUUUAUGCACAUUCGUUCUUCGUAACGGGGAUUAUAAGCGCCGCGGAACGCCUCACGUAGGGGUUGAACAAUUCAUCUGCGGCGACCUGGAAAGACGGGAUCAAGGGUGGCGACUAUUCGACGGCUCGAAGUUAAAAUGGCGCCAGGCGGGUCAAUCUACGCGUUAAAAGUGGGUCAGUUCACUAUGGCACGCCGCCAAUGCUCUCACGUGCGAAGCCUCCCACGCUCACCGUCGUCACCCUUCACCGACGGCUACCCCCGUUUUUUUUUUCUCUUGAAUUACUUUCUACCCCGCGUGCGUACGACCGCUCGAAGACGUACACGCAAGCAAGCAUAUAAGAGAGGAAAUAUGCCGACAUACGCUUAUGUAUACUCCUCUUAAUUCGGUUUAUUAAUUGAAUCGCUGACCUGAGAGACUCGCGAUAAAAUGUGCACUCGUGACUACAUAGAGAAAAAAUAUUUCUGCGGAUUUAAUCAAAUUUUUUUAAUUGCAACAAAUCUGUCUUUUGGGGCGAAUCAAAUAUGUUUGAUUUCAACAAACGGGGUUGUUUGGUUUUUCUCAAACAAUAAGUAUCUUUGCGUUAAAUAACAUA